rnacentral:rRNA from 1 species
UGGGGAAUAUUGGACAAUGGGCGAACGCCUGAUCCAGCCAUGCCGCGUGUGUGAAGAAGGUCUUCGGAUUGUAACGCACUUUAAGUUGGGAGGAAGGGCAUUAACAUAAUACGUUAGUGUUUUGACGUUACCGACAGAAUAAGCACCGGCUAACUCUGUGCCAGCAGCCGCGGUAAUACAGAGGGUGCAAGCGUUAAUCGGAAUUACUGGGCGUAAAGCGCGCGUAGGUGGUUUGUUAAGUUGGAUGUGAAAUCCCCGGGCUCAACCUGGGAACUGCAUUCAAAACUGACUGACUAGAGUAUGGUAGAGGGUGGUGGAAUUUCCUGUGUAGCGGUGAAAUGCGUAGAUAUAGGAAGGAACACCAGUGGCGAAGGCGACCACCUGGACUAAUACUGACACUGAGGUGCGAAAGCGUGGGGAGCAAACA